rnacentral:lncRNA from 1 species
CUCCCCUCUGUCUCCGCGAGUGAUACGAGUAUCACUAUCAAGGUAUGUGACUUCGAAUUCGCCACUUCCCGUGUUGGAAGGAGGUCGCAGUGCAUCGGGAAGUUGAGGAACUUCAAGAGGUGGAAGUUGUGAGUAGCUCCCCCUUGGCUUAACAGUAGUUUUUAUGAAUGUUAUUUUUAUUUUAGAAGUUCCUGCACAAAUGAAGGAACAAUUUUUGGUACCAGUAGUUUCCAAGUAAAUAGAAGUGCUUUCCAUAACUAUGAACUUGCUAUGUACCAAUUCCAAAAUAUCAAUAAGCACUGUAUUCCAAGGUUAUAAAAGAGCAAAUCAUUUUUCAUUAUUCCCCUGACGUACCUGUGAAUCAGUACGGUCCAAAAAUGGACUUAAGAAAAAAAAAGAAAUUAUUUGAACAUUAACACUAAGACAAGUAGGUAGAAAUUGGUUGGAU